AGGGAUAUAGUAUAGAGGUAGUACAGCGGUCUCCAAAACCGUUAGCGGGGGUUCGAUUCCCUCUAUCCCUG
rnacentral:tRNA from 2 species